AGAAGAAGUUCUUCAUCAAUGUGUCUGAAGUAAUUCCAGCAUCUUGCAUCUCAUACCUACAGCAGAAAGUAUAACAGAGGGGAAAAGUCUACAGAUCUAUUACAACAGGUCUCACGCCUGCUUGCAGUUCCUUGAGGCAGAAAAGACUUGUCAAUCAAGCAGUCUGGAAGUGGCCAUACCCUUAAAGACCUGGCCAGUUCAAGAUACUUCCAAAGAUGUUUUGAAGUGUAAAGUCCUUUAAAGGACUUUAAUUCACAAGUUAACAGACAAGAAUUCAUAAACAUUUUCUGCUGCAGAGCAACUUGAAAUUCCACCCCCAAUAUAUUAUGCCCCCAACUUCAAAUUCCACCCCAAGGAAAUAUAUACUGUUUCCCCAAAGAACAUGGAGGCAAGUGUGAUGGUUUAAGCCUUCCUCAGACCACAAUCCUUGUGGUGGGUUGGAUCGGUGGACUUUUACUACUGAAAGAAAGGAAACUUUGGAGAAAAGAUAAGGGGCUUAGCUGGAGGCAUACAGAGUCCUCACCAAAUACUCCUGAGAAUGGCUUCUGAUUACUUCUCAAAAGAAAAAAAUAAAACAAAACAAAACUGAGUUCUUCCUGUAUUGUGGUGACCUACAAGUAGAAGGAAGUCCCUGCACCCUUUUCUCCUCCUUUUUACUAGGAAAAAUCAAGCCUUAGAAAUUUCCUCGGUGGAGGAGUGACACCUGUGGCCAGAGUCCAUAGUAUGCCUUUUAUGUCCUUCCCAGAUUUAUAGGGAAAAAAAAGCAAGAGAAAUUAACUCUCAGGGGGUCCAGCUGCUGAGUAUUGCCUAUCCCCUGGCUCUUUAGGGCAAAAGAAGAGUGGCCUCAGCAGCCUAUGGUUAAGAUUUUGUCAGUUAUUUUUAGUAAAAGUCGGACAGCUCACAGGCAAUCAACACAAAUUCACAGAAGCUCAUGACCUGUCCGACUUUUACUAAAAAUAACUGACAAAAUAGGGAGGGGUAGGUCCAGCACCCAGCACAGGUCCAUGGCCCCCAAGGUGCUCAGAGAUGCGGGGGUCCGUCCCCACCCCACAGCAGCUAGGAGGAGCUGUGGGGGCCCUUGCCAGCUCUAGCCCCUGGCUGAAGCAGAAAGUGUCCUAGAGGUCGCUGGAAGUCACAGAUUCCAUGAUCUCUGUGAUGUAAUCCUAGCCUUACCUACGGUAAUAGAAUAUCAAACAAAGAGGGAAUCGGGAAAGAACUGCACCUGCUGUGCUACAGAAAUAACACUGAGAUGAGCCCUUGAAUGUUACAGAAACUCCUUAAAUCCCUGCAUGUGGAAGGAGGAGGGAAAACAAUCACAUGGCACAGCCCUUUUGUCUUACUAAAUCCCCUAGUGCUAUACAACAGUUAACACCGAUGUUGUCUCACUGAAUCCUAGGAUGGGCAAGGCAGGCUUACAUAAGGGAUGACUCCCACCUUGUUAAAGAGGAUGAAGUAAACUAGAAACAAGUAAGAGGCCCUUUACUGCUGCUUAUUCCUCCAUGUCUGGGCUGAUCUCUACCUCAACCCUCCAGGACUGCCAGUAUGAGGCAUGGCUGACCUGCAAUAAGCAGGGUCCCAUUAGUCAGGCAGGUAGCGCAUGGCUGAGUGGCAAAACAUGGUGAUUUCAGCUGGCCAGGCAAUUCUGGCAUAGCCGACCAUGCCAAGUGGGGUCCAAGUUAGCCUAGACAUUUUUGUGCCUUUUUCCUGCAACUUCUCUAUUCCUCUAAUUGCCUUGAAGCUGUUCCACCAGAGCGGCAUGUCCAGACAGGCCGCAAUGGAAACUUCUGCAGCCAGCAACCCUGGUAUCAAAACAGGGCAGGGGGGAAAAGGUGUUUCAGCAAGCCUGCUGCAGAGCACAACUUCUCCCCUCACACACACCCUUUCCAAGGCAAACUAAAAGCCCAGUAAUAUUUAGAAUCCUUUUUUUUGGUUGUGGUGUUGUUGCUUUGAGCAGGUCAUCUGGUAAAGCCCUCUGGCAGCUGCUGAAGGCAGUUCAAACUGGCUAAAAGUGCCUGGGUCUUCAGGGUUGUGGCCACUUGCGCCUGUCUGAUUGGGGUAGUAGUGCCCCAAAGAAGCUGCAAACAGGAGUAAGAUCCAUUGUAAAGGAUCUGCAGAAUUUCCCCGCAAGAGAAUAAUCCUUUGUAAAUUCUGUAAGAAUAUGAUAU